rnacentral:rRNA from 1 species
UGCCAGCCGCCGCGGUAAGACAGAGGGUGCAAACGUUGUUCGGAAUCACUGGGCAUAAAGGGCACGUAGGCGGCUCGCCAAGUCGUGCGUGAAAUCCCCCGGCUCAACCGGGGAACUGCGCUCGAUACUGGCGGGCUAGAGGCUAGUUGGGGUGAGUGGAACUCCAGGUGGAGCGGUGAAAUGCGUAGAUAUCUGGAGGAACACCGGUGGCGAAAGCGACUCACUGGACUGGUCCUGACGCUGAGGUGCGAAAGCUAGGGUAGCAAACGGGAUUAGAUA